rnacentral:rRNA from 1 species
CCCCUAGAUGUUCUGGGCCGCACGCGCGCUACACUGAACAGUUCAACAAGUCUUAACCUUGGCCGAUAGGUCUGGGUAAUCUUUGAACGCUGUUCGUGAUUGGGAUAGACCUUUGCAAUUAUGGGUCUUCAACGAGGAAUUCCUAGUAAACGCAAGUCAUCAGCUUGCAUUGAUUACGUCCCUGCCCUUUGUACACACCGCCCGUCGCACCUACCGAUUGAAUGGUCCGGUGAAAUCUCGGGACGGCGGCUUGGUCGCUUGCGUCCGACUGCUGAAACUUGAUUAAACCAUAUCAUUUAGAGGAAGGUGAAGUUGUANCA